rnacentral:rRNA from 1 species
GCAUAAUCAUUUGUUUUUUAAUUAAAAACUAGAAUGAAAGGUUAUACAUUCAAAUUUCUUUAUUAAUUUUUAAUAAAUAAUUUAUAUUAAAUAUAAAAAUAUAUUUAUAAAAAAAAAAGACGACAAGACCCUAUUAAAUUUUACUUAUAGUUUAGCUGGGGAAGCUUUUCAAUUAAAAUUUUUUAAAUUAAAUAAAUAAAAAUCUAAUAAAAUUAAAAUUUUAAUAAAUUACUAUAGGGAUAACAGCAUUAUAUUUUUUUAAAGUUCAUAUUAAAAAAAAUGAUUGUGACCUCGAUGUUGAAUUAUAUUUUCUAUAUUUAAUGCAAUAAUUAUAAAAGUAGAUCUGUUCGAUCUUUAAAAUAUUACAUGAUUUGAGUUCAAACCGGUGUAAACCAGGUUGGUUUUUAUCUUUUUAUAUAUUUUUCUAGUACGAAAGGACAAAAAAAUUUUUAUUUUAAUAAAUUAGCAAAUAAAUGCAUUAGAUUUAGAAUCUAAUUAUAUUUAAUAAUUUUUUUUAUUAAUCCUUUAUUAUCUAUUAUUAUACUUUUAAUUUCAGUAGCAUUUUAUACAAUUUUAGAACGAAAAAUUUUAAGAUAUAUUCAAAUUCGAAAAGGACCAAAUAAAGUAGGAUUUUUAGGAAUUUUACAACCUUUUAGUGAUGCUAUUAAAUUAUUUAAUAAAAAUUUAAUUUCAUCUGAAAGAAUAAAUUUUAUAUUAUCAUAUUCAAUACCAGCAUUAUCUUUAAUUUUAAGAAUAAUAAUUGUAUUUAUAUUACCAAUAUAUUUUUAUUCUUCAUUUGAUAAUAAAAAUAAUAUUUUAAUAUUCUUUGUAAUUUCAAGAUUAUCAGUAUAUUCUAUUAUAUCAUG